GUCCUGAGGUGGGGGAUAACUCCGGGAAACUGGAGCUAAUACCGCAUGAUAACUGAGGUUCAAAGGUCGCAAGACCGCCUUGAGAGGGGCCUGCGUUCGAUUAGUUAGUUGGUGGGGUAAUGGCCUACCAAGACGAUGAUCGAUAGCUGGUUUGAGAGGAUGAUCAGCCACACUGGGACUGAGACACGGCCCAGACUCCUACGGGAGGCAGCAGUGGGGAAUAUUGGACAAUGGGGGCAACCCUGAUCCAGCAAUGCCGCGUGUGUGAAGAAGGUCUUCGGAUUGUAAAACACUUUCGUUGGGGACGAUGAUGACGGUACCCAAAGAAGAAGCCCCGGCUAACUUCGUGCCAGCAGCCGCGGUAAUACGAAGGGGGCGAGCGUUGCUCGGAAUAACUGGGCGUAAAGGGCGCGUAGGCGGCCGAUAGCUGUCAGAUGUGAAAUUUUUGGGCUCAACCCGAAAACUGCAUUUGAUACGUAUUGGCUAGAGUGCGAGAGAGGAUUGCGGAAUUCCCAGUGUAGAGGUGAAAUUCGUAGAUAUUGGGAAGAACACCNGUUGCGAA
rnacentral:rRNA from 1 species